rnacentral:snoRNA from 1 species
AAUCCGUGUUGUGGGCAUUGGCGAAGUAAACCCUUGUAUUGUUCCCAAGCCUCUGAAUAGCAUUCAGAGUCAAUUUGCUAAAAAGCAGUGAUCUCAUCCCUUAGUUU